UACGGGGGGGGCAAGCGUUGUUCGGAAUUACUGGGCGUAAAGGGCGCGUAGGCGGCGACUCAAGUUAGAUGUGAAAGUCCUGGGCUUAACCUGGGGACUGCAUUUGAUACUGGGUUGCUUGAAUUCGGGAGAGGAUAGCGGAAUUCCCAGUGUAGAGGUGAAAUUCGUAGAUAUUGGGAAGAACACCGGUGGCGAAGGCGGCUAUCUGGACCGACAUUGACGCUGAGGCGCGAAAGCGUGGGGAGCAAACAGG
rnacentral:rRNA from 1 species